rnacentral:rRNA from 1 species
AGGAUAAACGCUGGCGGCGUGCCUAACACAUGCAAGUCGAACGCCCUUUUGCUCGCAAGAGCCAGAGGGAGUGGCGGACGGGUGAGUAACACAUGGGUAACCUACCCCCCAGUGAGGAAUACCGGCGAGAAAUCGCCGACAAGACCGCAUAGGCUCGGUCCGGUGAAGCGGAGCGAGCAAAGUCUCGCAAGAGACGCUGAGGGAUGGGCCUGUGGCCGAUUAGCUAGUUGGUAAGGUAAAGGCUUACCAAGGCGACGAUCGGUAGCUGGUCUGAGAGGACGAACAGCCACACUGGGAUUGAGAACGGCCCAGACUCCUACGGGGGGCAGCAGUGAGGAAUUUUCCGCAAUGGACGCAAGUCUGACGGAGCAACGCCGCGUGCAGGAGGACGCUUUUCGGAGUGUAAACUGCUUUUCUGUGGGACGAGCGUGGACGGUACCACGAGGAAGAAGCCCCGGCUAACUACGUGCCAGCAGCCGCGGUAA